GCGCCCGUAGCUCAGCUGGAUAGAGCGACAGCCUCCGGAGCUGUAGGUCAGAGGUUCGAAUCCUCUCGGGCGCACCA
rnacentral:tRNA from 4 species